GAUCAUGGCUCAGGACGAACGCUGGCGGCGCGCCUAACACAUGCAAGUCGAACGAGAGAGAGGGAGCUUGCUUCCUUCGAUCGAGUGGCGAACGGGUGAGUAACGCGUGAGGAACCUGCCUCAAAGAGGGGGACAACAGUUGGAAACGACUGCUAAUACCGCAUAAGCCCACGGCUCGGCAUCGAGCAGAGGGAAAAGGAGCAAUCCGCUUUGAGAGUGGCCUCGCGUCCGAUUAG
rnacentral:rRNA from 1 species